GAUUUUUUUCGUUUCUGUUCUCUUAACUUAAGUUUGUCUCAACUAAAUUUAAUGAAAUGUUUAUAUAAUUCUUAGUACCUCUAAACUCAGUUCAAGUUCAAUUUUUGGCAGCUUCACUUUUACAGUUCUUGAGUUAUGUCCCUUUUUAACGUUAUAUGCUAGUGGGGGCAUCAUCUGUGUCCCUUUGGACACAUUCCCCAUUUAUUUUUUUAGAAGUUACUAUUAAUUAAAAUUAAUUUUAACCAUAACAUUUUAUAUUUAAAUAUUUUAUGAUGUAUUUAAAUGAGUAGUUAUUGUUGCAAACUCCAUUAGAAAUUUGAAUUGAGAUCAUUUUUGGAAUAAGGGAAAGGAGGAGAUGAAAAAAAAUUGGGGG
rnacentral:lncRNA from 1 species